UGAACGCUGGCGGCAGGCCUAACACAUGCAAGUCGAACGGUAGCACAGAAGAGCUUGCUCUUUGGGUGACGAGUGGCGGACGGGUGAGGAAUAUAUCGGAAUCUACCCAAUCGUGGGGGAUAACGUAGGGAAACUUACGCUAAUACCGCAUACGAUCUGAGGAUGAAAGCGGCGGACCGCAAGGCGUCGCGCGAUUGGAUGAGCCGAUAUCCGAUUAGCUAGUUGGUGAGGUAAUGGCCCACCAAGGCAACGAUCGGUAGCUGGUCUGAGAGGAUGAUCAGCCACACUGGAACUGAGACACGGUCCAGACUCCUACGGGAGGCAGCAGUGGGGAAUAUUGGACAAUGGGCGCAAGCCUGAUCCAGCCAUGCCGCGUGUGUGAAGAAGGCCUCGG
rnacentral:rRNA from 1 species